UGGGAUGUAGCUCAGUGGUAGAGCUUCUUUCCUGGCAUGGAGAAGGACCUGGGUUCAAUUCCCAGCACCAUAA